UCCAUUUUCUGAGAAUUUCUCAGUGGAUGCUUUAAAAACCAAGGAUGAAUUCAGCAUCUCUAUUUUAUGUGGAAGCUGUUCUCAGCAUCAUUUGUUUUCUUACUUGGGUGGAAAAGAUAGCUGGGCAGUCACCCUGUUGAAGUGUACUGUGUGGGUCCAGAUGGGAGUGGAUGUUCAGCUCUCACUGGGCUCCACUGAUAUCAGCCCAGCCAGAGUGGAGUGCCAGCUGACCCCGCCUUGCUUUGCCUCACUCUGCCUUGUAGCUAAUGGGUGGGGGUGGAAGUCUUGCUUGGACUGUCGAUACCAGGAGUGGGGAGGGGGAAAAGGGACUGUGUUGUUGUGUAAUAAAGGAUUUGACUUUGUCCCUGGCUCCUGAGAAGGAGACUCUAAGUCUUUGGAAAUUCCCAAGUAAGAGGAGUGUCUUUGUUUUUCAUGAGCCCCUUGGAUCGCACCUUAGUUUAUGUUGAGAUGAGAGGGGUGGGAUUUGGAGCCAGCCUGACCUUGGGGAGAGUAGGGGGGAUGGAGAUUGAGUUGAGUCAUGUGACCAAUGAUUUACUCAACCAUGCCUAUGUCAUGAAACCUCAAUAAAAACUCUGGACACUGAAGCUCAGUGGAGUUACCUGCCUGGUAAACACAUUGAUUUGACCCACUCUGAUUUCAUGGGUUGAAGGCAUGGGAACUCUGCACUUAGGACCCCCCAGGAUUCACCUAUGUGUCUCUCCACUUGGCUGGUCCUGAUUUUUAUCCUGCGUAAUAAAAC
rnacentral:lncRNA from 10 species